CUACACUGGUGGCCCGCUGACCCUGCUGCACCGAGACCGCCUCGCCGACAGCCCCAGGAACAUCGCUUGGACCUGGGGCCCCGCGGCCACAACCAUGUUUGGCAGGAAGCGCAGCGUGUCCUUUGGGGGCUUCGGAUGGAUCGACAAGACCAUGCUGGCAGGCCUGAAGGUCAAGAAGCAGGAGCUGGCCAACAGCUCGGAUGUGCCCCUGCCGGACCGGUCGCUGUCCCCUCCUCUCACGGCACCUCCCACCAUGAAG